rnacentral:rRNA from 1 species
AGAGUUUGAUCCUGGCUCAGGAUGAACGCUAGCUACAGGCUUAACACAUGCAAGUCGAGGGGCAGCAUGUUGGUUGCUUGCAACCAACGAUGGCGACCGGCGCACGGGUGAGUAACGCGUAUCCAACCUACCCUUGUCCAUCGGAUAACCCGUCGAAAGGCGGCCUAACACGAUAUGCGGUUCACAGCAGGCAUCUAACGUGAACGAAAUGUGAAGGAGAAGGAUGGGGAUGCGUCUGAUUAGCUUGUUGGUGAGGUAACGGCCACCAAGGCGACGAUCAGUAGCCGACCUGAGAGGGUGACCGGCCACAUUGGGACUGAGACACGGCCCAGACUCCUACGGGAGGCA